rnacentral:rRNA from 1 species
UUGACGGGGAGCACCACAAGGGUGAAGCUUGCGGUUUAAUUGGAGUCAACGCCGGAAAUCUCACCGGGAGCGACAGCAGGUUGAAAGCCAGAUUAAAGGUCUUGCUAGACGAGCUGAGAGGAGGUGCAUGGCCGUCGCCAGUUCGUGCCGUGAGGUGUCCUGUUAAGUCAGGCAACGAUCGAGACCCGCGUCCUCUGUUGCUACUAGCUUUGUGCUGGGCACACUGAGGAGACCGCCACUGAUAAAGUGGAGGAAGGAGCGGGCCACGGCAGGUCAGUAUGCCCCGAAUCUCCCGGGCCACACGCGAGCUGCAAUGGCAGGUACAAUGGGUUCCGACCUCGAAAGGGGGAGGCAAUCUCGAAAACCUGCCGUAGUUGGGAUUGAGGGUUGAAACCCACCCUCAUGAACAUGGAAUCUCUAGUAAUCGCGUGUCAUUAUCGCGCGGUGAAUACAUCCCUGCUCCUU